GACGGAGGAUGCAAGCGUUAUCCGGAAUGAUUGGGCGUAAAGCGUCCGCAGGUGGCAGUUCAAGUCUGCUGUCAAAGACCGGGGCUUAACUUCGGAAAGGCAGUGGAAACUGAACAGCUAGAGUAUGGUAGGGGCAGAGGGAAUUCCUGGUGUAGCGGUGAAAUGCGUAGAGAUCAGGAAGAACAUCGGUGGCGAAGGCGCUCUGCUGGACCAUAACUGACACUCAGGGACGAAAGGCUAGGGGAGCGAAUGGG
rnacentral:rRNA from 1 species